rnacentral:rRNA from 1 species
AGUGAACGCUGGCGGCGUGCCUAAUACAUGCAAGUCGAACGGAGAUUAAGUAGCUUUCUCUUUCAUCUUAGUGGCGCACGGGUGAGUAAUAUAUAGCUAACUUUCCCCUUACUAAGGGACAACAGUUGGAAACGACUGCUAAUACCUCAUACUCCGUAUCUAUAUAGGUAGAUACGGGAAAGUUUUUCGGUAAUGGAUAGGGCUAUAACGUAUCAGCUAGUUGGUAAGGUAAUGGCUUACCAAGGGUAUGACGCGUAACUGGUCAGAGAGGAUGAUCAGUCAAACCCGAAGUGAGACACGGUUCAGACUCAUACGAGAGGGGGCGGUAGGCAAUAUUGGUCAAUGGGGGAGUCCCAGAAGGAGCUGCGGGGCGUAGAGCAUGACACUUUGCGGAGAAUGGACUUGUUUUAUUGGGGAAGACUUAUGACGGUAGCCAAAGAAUAAGCACCGGCUAACUCCGUG